rnacentral:rRNA from 1 species
UAGUCCACGCCGUAAACGAUGGAUACUAGGUGUCCGGGAUAUUAACCUCCGGGGUACUACAGCUAACGCGUUAAGUAUCCCGCCUGGGGAGUACGGUCGCAAGGCUAAAACUCAAAGGAAUUGACGGGGGCCCGCACAAGCGGUGGAGUAUGUGGUUUAAUUCGAAGCAAUGCGCAGAACCUUACCUACCCUUAACAUUUCACGCUCGCCUCAGAGAUGAGGUUUUCUCUUCGGAGACGUGAGGAUAGGUGCUGCAUGGCUGUCGUCAGCUCGUGUCGUAAGAUGUCUGGUUAAGUCCAAUAACGAGCGCAACCCUCAUCUUUAGUUGCCAGCAGGUUAAGCUGGGCACUCUAAAGAAACUGCCCGUGAUAAGCGGGAGGAAGGUGUGGAUGACGUCAAGUCCUCAUGGCCCUUACGGGUUGGGCUACACACGUGCUACAAUGGCAUCUACAGUGAGUUAAUCUCCAAAAGAUGUCUCAGUUCGGAUUGGGGUCUGCAACUCGACCCCAUGAAGUCGGAA